rnacentral:rRNA from 1 species
UACGUAGGUCCCGAGCGUUGUCCGGAUUUAUUGGGCGUAAAGCGAGCGCAGGUGGUUUAUUAAGUCUGGUGUAAAAGGCAGUGGCUCAACCAUUGUAUGCAUUGGAAACUGGUAGACUUGAGUGCAGGAGAGGAGAGUGGAAUUCCAUGUGUAGCGGUGGAAUGCGUAGAUAUAUGGAGGAACACCGGUGGCGAAAGCGGCUCUCUGGCCUGUAACUGACACUGAGGCUCGAAAGCGUGGGGAGCAAACAGG